rnacentral:rRNA from 1 species
AGAGUUUGAUCCUGGCUCAGAGCGAACGCUGGCGGCAUGCUUAACACAUGCAAGUCUCACGGGCAGCAAUGUCAGUGGCGGACGGGUGAGUAACGCGUAGGUAUCUAUCUCUGGGUGGGGGACAACUGUGGGAAACUACAGCUAAUACCGCAUGAUAACUGAGGUUUAAAGGCGCAAGUCGCCUGGAGAGGAGCCUGCGUACGAUUAGCUAGUUGGUGGGGUAAAGGCCUACCAAGGCGACGAUCGUUAGCUGGUCUGAGAGGAUGAUCAGCCACAUUGGGACUGAGACACGGCCCAAACUCCUACGGGAGGCAGCAGUGGGGAAUAUUGGACAAUGGGCGCAAGCCUGAUCCAGCAAUGCCGCGUGUGUGAAGAAGGUCUUCGGAUUGUAAA